GCGUGGCUCCCCCUCUGCGGGGUUGGGGUUGGCCGGGGUUGGGGUGCAGGCAGCGGGUGUGUGUCCGGUGCUUUCCCGCUGGGAGCCCCCAGGCCGCUCGCAUUUUUGCCCCAAGCCCAUUGCGGUGUUCUCAUCCCGCACCCGCUUUAUUUUUGGCAAGAGGUUCCCGCACUAAAAUGUGCCGGAGCGUCGCCAGAGCCCAAGCUGGCAGCACCCCCAGAGAGCCUGGAGCUUUACCGCCCUUGCAACAUCAAACUCACGAGAAGAGCCCGUGUUUAUUUCCUAGUGUGGUACUCGAGGUGCACACGGGCUCCUCAGGUGUGGAAGGGUGAUGGAGUGGAAGGACAGCGGGAGAGAGGGAACGGAGAGGAAAGAGCAAGGAAGAAGUUCAAUUUGCAGCUGAGUGGCGAGAUAAGAACUGCAGAGGCUCCUACACUUAUUUUUUUAUAGAGCAUACCACAUAGUUGGGCAUAUGUAGCUCCCCCUCCCACUCAGAUUGUGCAGAGUAUUGCAUAAUGUUACCAUCUGAAUCGAUAGAAGUAACUGAAUUGUUUUCAAAGGGAAAAAAAUGAAUGCUAUUUUCCCUCAUUUACAAUACAGCUAUAAAUCUGUUGUCUCUAACCGGUGAUCUGAGAGCAGCCAUGCCACAAGUGUGCUUCCCAAAGUACUCAGCUUGGACCAGAGCUUGUUGAAGCCUUAAGAGCAUGGGGGAAAACGUGUUACUUACUGCUGAACUGUCCUGUGUGUCAGCACCUGAGCGCUUCUUUCUCUGUGUGCUUUUUAAAGAAUCCACUGUUAACGUCUCAGAACUCAACAACUGAUCCUGUUCUUGUCCUGCAUGAAGAAUAACCCAGUGAGGAUUUAGAAAGAAAAGCCUCGGGGCUCACUGAUUUACAUCCCCUAACCCCAAAGGAGCAGCUGUGCAGCAGCAGCCUGCUGUCCCCUGAGGGCAAAACAAAACCAGGGGCCUUUCUGCUUCUGAGUUGGGAAGAUAAUGAAACAGUAAAUACAUUUCAACAACUGAUGAGCAACUUCACUAUCCCAGUUUCCUCUCCUGUAUGUGACAGGUUAAUUCUGCUUUAGCAGGAGGUUUUACCUGCUUUUUUUUCCCCCUAAACCACUUCUGGUGUAUUUCUUUUCUUUUCAAAUACGACAGACUUUUUGCCAACUGCCUCCUGGUUGGAAACUGCUCUACAUGUGCACUGGAACUGGCUUCUUAUAAUCACGUUAGGUUCAGCCUGGCAAAGAUUUGGAGCUGUGCUUAAGCAUGUGAGUAGCCCCCUGAAGUUGAGUGGGAUGGCACAAAGCGAUGUACAGACGCCUCUGAAGGUGCUGGGCCGUGUGUCACAGCAGCCUGAAAAUCUGCUGAGAAACACCAUCCCUGAAAACACUUUCUAGAAGGAUAAGCAGCAGAGUGAUCCUGAAGCCAUCCCCAUGCCGUGGGUUUACACACCAUCCCCAAGACAAGGGCGACUAAUGGUUGCUGUAACAGCAAAACCUACAUAGCCCACUCGUGUUCCCACUUGUUCUCACUGUCAGGAGCCCCCAGAGCCUCCUCUGUGCUCAUCCUGUGGUCAGACACAGUUCCCAAAGGGCACCUCAGGUUACUCUUUAGAACUACAAGGGUUCCAUUUCAGUGCCCAGUAGGCUGCUCAGUACAGGGCUAUUGUCAAGAGGUUUUGUCCCUCAGCCAACAUUACACUCCAGUACUCUUCAGGCCUGCCUCUCCCCUUGUGAAGAGGGGCAAGUCACACCCUAAAUCCCCACGUAAAGCAGUUUAUGAGCUGUCUGCAGGGGCAGAUGCCUUGCUGAAGGAAAGCUCUCUGCUACAGAAGUCUCCAUGGGUUUAAUAAUUUUUUCCUCCACAAAAUGAACUUUUCAGACUCCUCCCUGCCCCUCUGUGUCCAUGGCUCUGUACAGACAUGAGGCCAGCCUGCCUCAGCCACAGCUCUGAGGUACCCCCCUGUGUGUUUGCACACACCACUGCUAACUACUAACCUUUAUUUGACCAGAGCAUAAAAUAUCUGCAGCUCUCAGAGAUGUUUAUGGCAGCAGCAGAGCUGCCCUCUGUUAAAGAUUAGGCAGUGGCCACAGCAGCCAAGGCCAAUGCCAGGUUCAAAAGGACAAUAUUCCAACUGCUGUUUGACUGCUGCAGCUGGAACAUCUCCCUUCCAUGGUUCAACACCAGUUGUCUCACAGGAAGAAGAAAGGAUGGUCCUUUCCUCUCUUCAAACCAGAGGCAGCAGGACACCACUGCAUGUCCCCCAGCCGAGCUCUUUGGGGCACUUUGCAACAAAACCAUUGCAUGUGAAGGGAAUGGAGGGAACAUCACAGUAGUGCCAUGCUCACUGUCCCUACCUAAGAGCAGAGUGAGGCAAAGGGCUUGGACAUGGCCCAGAGAGAUAAGAGCCAGGAGAAACCAUGUCUCAUCAGCACAGAGCAUCUGUGCAGCUGCAGUGGGAUAACAUCAGCACCAUCCUAUCAAAACGCUCCAGUUGCUGGAGGGCUGUUGUGCUGAGCCAUGAGCUGCAGCAGAGACACAGACAAGAAGCACAACAUCACUGUGUCUGGGUCCCAGGGGAGAAGAGAGCUCAGAAAAUUGUGGUGAUGUUACAGUUUUGAGGUCUGUGCAGCAAACUCAGAUACCACUUCAGGCAAAGAAGAUGAGGGAGCACUGCCAGUGUAUGUCCUGGUGAAACCAAUCCAGCAUGACUCAGCAGCUACAGCAGGGGUGGAGAGGCACUAGAUCUGGGAGUUGUGCAACAGCUUUGGGACUCCCUCUGAUCCAGGGGACACUGAUGAUCAACAAGAAAAGCCUCUGGAGAAUUAGCAUCAGCGUGUCUGGCCAAGCCAAAAUCCAAGAUCUGUAGUUCACCAAAGGAAGAGAGAGAAGGAAAGGCAGGAAAGAAAAGAGAAAUCCUACAGGCAAGUGAGAAUCUGCUUCCAGGAGGAAAGGAGGUAGAUCCCAUUGGAUAAUAAUGAAGCUCCAGCUAUACCACAGCCACCCACGGGAUGGUUCAGAGAAGUAACAGGUUUGUCUUAAUCCCGCUGUAAAUUGCAAGCCAGCUGCAAAACCAGUUGUUGUGGAAAGACCCUGCCAAAAGGAUCAGUGCUGUGUGCUAGCUGGAAGGUCAUUUCCUUUCCUGAUGCUUAAGUUUCAUCUCUGUAAGCUUUAUUUAAUUGAGUUGUGCUGUAAGCUGGCAGCAAAGGCAUCUCCCAGGCCACCAUGACUCACUCUUUUAAUGAGAACACCUUGUAGCUGACAGGGGAUGGCCUUGCCCUCAGUACUGGAGAUAAACAUAGCUUGAGACAACCUUUACAGCUUUUCCUAGAGCCAUUUCCCCUUUCCUCCAGCCAUUCCCUAUGAUAUACAUUUCAGCCAAAGGCCUGCUAGGGCACUGCACCAGCGAGCUGCCAGCAACCACUUCGGAGCAAUCCUCAAAACAUCUUUGUCUGGAGUCACAACCAUCAUGUCAGUGAGAACCAAAGGGUAACUGUGGCUGAAUCCAGUUACCCAUCAGGGAUUGCUCACCCAAUGCAAGUGUUGCUCAGCAGUACUGAAUUUACUUAGGAAGUCGUUAGGAGCUGCUGUGCCGCAGGAGUGACGGCGACAGGAUGUUCAUUCCAAGUCUUGGACCAUGAUUCAGCAAGUUACAUCAGCAGGUGAGUAUUUCCCACUGCCUGCAACCACUGAGUAACAAAACACCUCCAAUUGUGUCUCAGAAGGCAAGAGGAAACAUGACAGUGCCAAAUUCCUGCUGGCAGGGCAGUUCCUUCACGAUCUGAUGUGUUAUGUGCUACCAAGUGCUGCUUUUCCACCUACCUUGAGCUGACAGUCUUCAUUCACAGCCAAGUUGCCUGGCUUCAGGUCCUACAACAGGCAAGAGCAGACAAUAAGGAUAUUUUCAUUUGCAACAUAUCCACACGAACUGCAGCCAAACCUCUGCUCCCCUUUGAUGGGGUCCCAUCACAUCCUGAGCCAGCAGACACCACACUUGCCACAUUCUACAGCUUUACAUUACUAUUUCUUUUUUUCUGAAACAGUUCUGCUUCCAAAAGCAGCCCAAAAUGCUUCUCAGCUCAUCAAAAAUUACAGCAUUUCCUCAAAAUGCUGCACAAAGGAGCAAAUCCAAACACACACGUGGCAAAGGAGGGCAAAGAGGGAGGACGCCAGAGAGACCUCAGAGCAGACAAGGCUCUUAGUGGCUUAACAACCGUACAACCAAGCAGUGUUUCUCCUAAACAGACACAAAUCAGAGUAAGAGCACACCUGAACUUACCCUAUGGACGAUGCCAGCUGAGUGAAUAUACUGCAAGAAAAAGAGGAGCCACAAUGUGAGCACCAGCAGACAAGAUCUUCUGUUCUCCAGCAGAGAAACAACAGCUACAAACAAGAACUUGCUGAGAACACAAGUCUGCAGCCCACUGUGGGUCCCCAGCCCCCAGGGCAGCAGAUUGGAAAGAAAUCUCUGGACUGAAUUUCCGACAGCAUUUGCAAUGAUAUUGGCAGUGGAAAGAAGAGACCCAGAGCAGAAGAGGAGAUGUGGAGCUAUAGCUCCUUGGAGCAAGGACACUAAUAGCUUCAAAGUCCCAAAGGCAUCGAGAUUACAGCUCGGUGUGUUAUGAAACAAGGGCUCAGCUCAGAUCCCAUCGAUGGGCUGCUUCAUGUUUAACCUGCCAAAGACUCACUCGCCUCCUCCAGUUCACCAGAGUGCACCAAGACAAUCUGCCCUCUGCCUCCUCUCACUACAGCCACCUUUGCCCAGCUCAUUAAUUAACAGCAGCUCGUGCUGCUCCCUUCAUAGCUUGAGGAUUAUCAGCCAGGAGGGAAGUCUGUUACUGAUCCUGCUUUACAAUAACUUCUAUCUAUUUUAAGAAUUCAAGCUGGAAGCAGUAUCAAGGCAGAGGUCAUACUGGUCAGCUCCUUUCCCCAGGCAGCCCAGCAGCAGCCUCAAGGACACACUGCAACCACUCCUCUUCCAGUACCCACCUCUGCCAUCACCUACAGAUUGCUCUCAGACCCCCACGUAUUUUCCCCCCAACUUUGCUGCCAGACAGGAGCCUUAAUGCAAGGUGAAGACCAAGCCAGACCCAAACCAGACAUGAAGGUGACACUUUGAAGUGCACCCAGGACCUCCCUGCUCCUCCCAAGGCUGCCCCCCGAGCUGAGCUCGGAUGGGAAACGCUGCCCUUGCUGCCCACCCAGGCUGACCACAGGAACAGCUCAGUUUCUUCAAGUGACCAAGUCUCUAAACCGCUGCCAGAGCAGGAGGCAAACCACCCUUCAUCACACAUGCAAAUGGCCUUUCCUAAUGGAGGGGUGCUGACAAGUGCCUCCUCGUUUCCCCUCAUUCCACCCCCAGCUCGCCCCGCGGAGCAGCCGGGACCCCACUCACCACACGGAGCCGUAGGCGCCAGAGCCCACCGGCUGCAGGGACGUGUAUCUCCUGGGCAGCUCCCAGAGGGUUUUGUUCACCUCCUGUCUGUAGAAGAGUCUUCUCCUUGCGAUGUUCAUCGCCCGGCGGGUGCGAGACUGCCACCCCCCCAGAGUCCUGGAGUCCGGGAGGGCUCCUGGGGCGGGAGCGGGCCAGCGAGGCCUCCUGCGCUGCUAAAAAAGGCUCCAAGGAGUUUCCUUCUCCGUUUUCAGCUGUUGCGAGCGUGAAGGGACAUGUCUUUGGGCCCUCCUCCCUCCGCCUCCACAUGGGCAGAGGUGAGGCAUCAGGCUGCCCGACACGCCUCGUGCAGGUGCCUCUGGACUCUGCGACAGGAGGCGAGGGCCCAGCCCUGGCGCGGGCACACCUCCGGCAGCCCUGUCAGCACCCACAGCUCGUGCCUCCUGCUGCCACCCGCUGAGAAAUGUCCUGCUGGGGCUCCCAGGGCCCCUCGUGAACUCCCUGCUCUGAACAAGCUGAUGAGUAAGGACUUGUCGAGCUGGGGAAUCUGGGGGAUGAGCCACAGUGCCUCGUCAGCCUCGCAGGGACAUUCAUCUCUCCAGCUGAUGCAGGACAGCUCCAGGCUCGUGAGGAAUGACACCAGGGGUUACAUCCACAGUACAGCGAGGAACAACGAGGAUUUUCUCCCAAGCCUGGCUUCCCAGUGGGGCUGGAAAUGGUGAGAGCCAGCUGAGGUUCUCCACAGCGGUGGGACAACCUUGGGACUGUUCAGGCCUCAGCUCUGUUGGGUCUGGUGUCAUCUCCUGCAGCAGGUCCAACCCAUUCUUGGGUCUUCUCGGACAACAUAAAGCCUGAGUUCACUGUCUGGCCAGGCCAGAACUGCAAACCCAGCCUGUGGAAAGGUCCAUUCCUGGUAAGCUGGGAUUAUCUCUGUGUUUUUCUCCAGCUCUCAGCAGCUCUGGGAAGUUAGGUACAUCCUACCUGCUCCCCAGAGGAAGUGACUAACCUGUCCUUACCCAGCUGGCCCAGCAGCCCCCAACCCUGCCCACAGCCUCUGCUCCUGCCAUACCUGUCACCUGCAAAGCUCUGCCUGCUCCCAGCACGUCCCUGCAGCAACAACCAGGGUACCUGAUAAACAGGAAUUACAGAAAAGGCACCAUCAGGGCUUUAAGAACAGACUCAUUUUACCAGCUUAGGGGCAACCCCUGUGACACACAUCAGCACUGCCCUUCACAUUUUUCAAACAGCCACAAGCAGCUCUGCUGUUUGAUACAACAAACUGAGGACAAGUUGCCGCGGCAAUUUUUCACCCUGUUUUAUGAUGUCUAUGUAAAUGAGCCCUGGCUGUGGCUACAGCCCGCUCAGGAAAUGAGCUGGCCACUGGUUCUAUAAAUACACCUCUGACAAGAGGUGUUGCAGCAGACACUCCUGGUCCAUCAGCCAAGGUGUAACUCGAUUGUUAUUUUAUGG